GUGAGGUAGAAGUCUAAAGUGUGCUCAUCUAGGAACCAUUGACCAUGAAUGAGGAAAUCUAAAAGGAGAAGUGGCUUGGGGGUAGGGCUAAAAACCUUACUUUAUGGCAAGAGAAGAAUCCGUUAUUUCAGGCACGGGGAGCAACACGACAAAUGUGCAGAGCAAGCACCUUGUGAAAUGAGCUCACAGCACUGGCUACAGCAUGAAGUUCGUGAGGAGUGGUAAGAGAAAAUAGAAAAGUUGGAAAUGAAGACUGGGGUCUGAUUGUGGGUAGUUGUGGGCAAGAGGUUCUUUGCUGUAUUUAUUAGGCAGGGUCGUGAUAUGAUCAGAGAGCUGCUUCUGCAAGAGUGAUCAGGACAUGACUAGAUCAUAAGUCCCAAUUAUAUAUGAAUUUUUUGGUCAGUUCUUCCACGUGUUAGCUUUUUCACAUUCCAGUUCUUGUGUAAUCCCCUUUCGUUGAGUGUAGGC